UACGGGGGGGGGGCAAGCGUUGUUCGGAAUUACUGGGCGUAAAGUGUGCGCAGGCGGCCGCGCAAGUCGAGUGUGAAAUCCCCCGAGCUUUAACUUGGGAAUUGCGCUCGAAACUACGUGGCUGGAGUGUGGCAGAGGAAGGUGGAAUUCCACGUGUAGCGGUGAAAUGCGUAGAUAUGUGGAGGAACACGAUGGCGAGGCAGCCUUCUGGGCCAACACUGACGCUCAUGCACGAAAGCGUGGGGAGCAAACAGG
rnacentral:rRNA from 1 species